CGAAGAGGUCCUGCGCCGGCGGCCGGCCGCCUUUUCGGCUGUGCGCAGCGUUCGUCGUCCAAAGGCAACGCCGUCGCAGGUUAUAAAAAACGCUCCUGUCAAUGAUCUGGGAAAGAGGCGCGACGCUACGCCGAGACGGCCUCGAAGGCUCGCUCUAACCGACGCCCGUUUUCACAUGCGACUCGAAUUCGCCUCCGUCUCAGCAGUUCGACCAGCCCGGAAAUGACCUCGGCCGUCUACUUGGAGCACUACUUGGACAGCCUCGAGCACCUGCCGGUCGAGCUCCAGCGCAACUUCACUCUCAUGCGCGAUCUUGACACGAGGGCCCAGAACGUCAUGAGGAACAUCGACCAGCUUGCCGAUGACUUCAUGGCAAACCUUAAGAACCUGACAAGCGAAAAGCGCAAGGAGGCUAUGGCCGACAUACAGCAGCAGUUCAACAAGGCUAAGGAGUACGGUGAUGACAAGGUCCAGUUGGCGAUCCAGACGUACGAGCUUGUCGACAAGCACAUACGCCGCCUCGACUCUGACCUUGCACGUUUUGAAUCAGAGAUUCAGGACAAGGUCACUUCAAACACUCGCCCCACAGACGAUCAAGUAUCUGUCGCUGUCAAAAAAGGAAGAAAGAAAAUUAAAGAAAAAGAAAAGAAGAGGAAAGGGUUGAGUUCUGACGACGACUCAGGCGGAAAAACAUUAAAGAAGAGAAAGAAAACCGGAGGAAAAGCAGUGGGUGGUAAAAACGCAGGCGGUAAAGCAACCAGCAUACCUGCGAGCGACUCCCCAUUGGCCGUGCUGCCUCUAGCCAGCGGUGAUGUCCUCGACAUGCCAGUCGACCCGAACGAGCCGACCUACUGCCUCUGCCACCAGGUCUCCUAUGGGGAGAUGAUCGGUUGCGACAACCCUGAUUGUCCAAUCGAGUGGUUCCAUUUCGCAUGUGUUAACCUGACGACGAAACCCAAGGGAAAGUGGUUCUGCCCAAAAUGCAUUUCGGACCGAAAGAAGAAAUGAUCUUCACAUUUUAGCGUAUUGUUUUUUGUUUGUUUUUUAUUGUAAUUUUUUGAUUUUGUAUGAACGAACGGAGAAGAAAAAAAUUUUUCAUUAUGUAAAUUAAUGAUAUAUAUUUUGUAUUAAUUAAGUAAGCUUAAAAAAGAAAUUAAAAACAUAAUAAAUUAUAUUUAAUGUUGCAAUUUUUUUCUUCUUUUCUAUUUUCCUAAUGUUAAAUUUUUGCGUUGCUAUACUAAUACUUUGCACAACUGUUGUAUGUGACGCCAUAUUCUGCCACAUAGACGGCCACAUAGAUAUUGUCAAUUUGGCAUAAUUUUGUAAUGUCCCGUCAAAAUAGUGAGAUCGAUUGGACAAAUUGUAUUUAUAUAAUUUACAACCUCCUUUGUCUUAGAUUCCUGAAAGCGCAAGCCAUUCAGUUUUGGACGAUGUUAUGUCGAGAUAUCUGAACUUGAACUCAUUCGAGGCAAACAGAUUUUUCAUCUAACAUGGUGGGAUUUGGAAAGUAGUUUGUAGCUUCAUUGGUCGACCCGAACUUGAAAAUUGUGUGGCUUCCCAAACUGUGGUACUUGGUGAUCGUCGAGAAAAAUGCAGCAUGAAUAAAUCAAAUUAAAAACUAAUAAUAACAUAGUCCUGAUUUUUUAAAAUUUUAUUUAUUAUACGUUUAUUUUUGAAAACUUAAACAAAAUAGGUAAGGUAGGAUGGAUGGGACUUGACUGUUUGGUCGAUCGGUUGGAAUUUUGUUGUUGAUACUGGGGUCCUUCAUUACCAGGAACUGAUACUUCUGGAACACACUGAAAUUUUUCCAGUGUUGUGUAUAAACAAAAAAUAUUGAGCAGAUGCCCACUUCUUCUCUGGUGCCUACAGCCUCCACGGCCAGGCAUUUCUGUUGCGAGCAAGUGCUCACUUCAUCUCUGGUGUCUACAGCCUCACCGCCAGCCAAUUCUGUAGCAAGCAUGUGCUCACUUCUUCUCUGGCAUCUACAGCCUCUGCGGCCAGGCAUUUUUGUUGUGAGCAGGUGCCCACUUCUUCUCUGGCGCCUACAGCCUCGCCGCCAGCCAAUUCUGUAGCGAGGAAAUGCCCACUUCUUCUCUGGCAUCUACAGCCUCGUCGGCCAGCCAAUUCUGUUGCAAGCAUGUGCCCACUU
rnacentral:misc_RNA from 1 species